rnacentral:ribozyme from 1 species
UGCCCAGUAACUCCUAUUCCUACCUCCUCGUGGUACUGGCCGGGGUACUAGGAACCUUGGGGAAGA